GGGAGAGGGGAACCUUUUACUACCAUGGCGUAAACGAGGAGGGGUUAUUUGAGAAAUAAGUUGACAAGAAUCACCUUUAAAAAAAAAAAAUUGCAAACGACUUUCUUUCUAAACACCUUUAUGUAUUCAGGCCUGCAAAUGCAGCUUUUACUCCCAACACAGAUGGAGACCUCUGGUUUACUGAAGAGGCAGGUCUCUGCUGAGUUUCACAGAAAGAUGUGGUUCUCGGUCUCUUGCCUCCUCCUGAUGCCUGGAUGCUUGGUUCCAUUUUGAUCAGAUAUGCCCUGCGACUUCAGCCCAUUUGUUUUCUCUUGGAGGAGCCAGACAAGAUUCUCGUUUAUUCACUUGUAAUCAGCUACUGCCAUCGCGAAGAGACACACAGAGCGCAUGAAGAAAAUGAGGCUUGGAGAGACUACAUAAGGAAGCUGAUUCAACAUCUCAUAAAUUACAGAGCUAAAGUUCUAACGGUUCCUAUCAAGACAUAAGCUGGAGGUGAUAAGUAUAUAA